rnacentral:misc_RNA from 1 species
GGGCUACUUGACGCUCAUUGUUUAGUAGUUGUUGAUGGUAACAACCUCCUCGAACUUCUCGCUGGAGUGGUUCUUGGCCUUUUGUGCGUCGAUGUAGUCGAGGCCCUUGGUCUCCACGAUGCGGUCGAUGAACGCACCGGCGAAGCCAGCGAGGAUCUCCUUGGCCUUGGCGUGGCUGUCGGGCUGGCCGUUCUUCGCAACGUGGUCCUCGUAGGCCUUGGCAGCCUCGUAGGACGCCGCGGCGGCAAUGAGCUCGUGGGAGAGCUUAGCCUGGUGAGGGGCGUUGCUGACCUGGUCGAAGGCCUGGGCCUCGUCAGACUCAGAGUGGAAGAAACCCAUUGUGUCGUAAGCGAUGGUAGUGGAUGUGGUAGAAGAGCAGGGGUG